rnacentral:ncRNA from 1 species
CACAACACUAUGAAGAGGAACAUAGAUAGUGAAAAGCAACAGAGAGGAAGAGUUAAGCUGGAAAUCUUCUUGCCAGAAGCUAUUGCAUUCACCUCAGAGUGCGGCCAAUCCCCGCCGUAUGCGCUACGUUACAGUGAAAUUAAGUGCAUAGAAAUAUUCUAUGAAUUAGGAUGGUACCGCGAGCAACUCGUUCCUAUU